GGCUCACCUCAAGAACAAAGCGCGGUUUCCUCCCUCGCCAUCCUUCCUUAUGGUCGCGCACCCGGCUCACCUCAACAACAAAGCGCGGUUUCCUCCCUCGCCAUCCUUCCUCGUGGUCGCGCACCCGGUUGGAUUUCACAGUCAUGGAAGUUCUGCUUUAAAAUCCGUUUCUGAAGAAGUGUUAAUGGCAGCAGUGAGCCCCCCUGCCUCUGAUUGUCAUCUUUGGGGGCCAGAGAAGUGAGCAGCUAUCCUUCCCAGUCCCUGGUCCCUCCAAGCAGUGACAACAAAGAAUGGACCAGGCGAGGCAUUGUGUGUAGACA
rnacentral:lncRNA from 10 species